CUACGUUCUAAAGGGUGGGCUGCAUAUCAGGGCAGAGGGUAGGGUGGCCUCCUGAGUGGGCCAGAAAAAGAAAGCAUCAAGAUGUAAUGGUGAAGUUGAGAUGAUGAUCAGAGUCUUACUUCAGACAAAUCAUGAGUCUCAGAGGAAGUGAUGACAGAGAUGUCUGUGGAAACUAUUGAAGAGGAAGGCUUUGCUAAAUCUUCAUGGAGAGAGUCCUUUCUAUGGAGGAGACAUUAUGCUAGAAUUUUCACACAGAUUAUUUUAUUUAACUCCAAGAACUACUCCAUGAAAUAGGCAUGAUCAUCACCUUCAUUGUUUACAGAGAUUCUGGCUUCCCCACUGUAAGAACUGAAGAUACUGCAGCUGAAUUGAUGUCAUGAAAAGGCCUUCAUUCAAUUAGAGUGGGUAUCUUGUGUGGUCUCUAUUUAAUAACUUCCACUUUUGUACAUUUCAAUUUCUGUACGUGCUCUGAGAUAAACAGCCAGAGUCUUUAAGCAAGAGAGACAACAACUAAAAACAACAAUGAAAACUUAGUUACAGCUACAGCGAUAUAUAGGUCUUUAUAAAAGUAGCAGUUCCAUUGUGAAGGCGGUGAUAAAUGUAAAACCAUAAAUUCUGGAAAUAGUCGUAGUAAAUAGAUAGAAACAAGAGUGGUUCACAGA